GGACUGAUGAUGAGCUAGGCGUGCUGAGCAUGAAUGAUGUGAGGCUCCACGGGAUUACUCUGAAGUCU